rnacentral:lncRNA from 1 species
AUCAGAAGACUGGCUUCUCCAUGAUGGUUUAUGGACUAAGGCAAAGAUGAGCAGAGCCAUGGCCCUCUUCUUUGUUCUCUGCUGGAUCCAAGAGUCGGGGGUCUCCCUAUGUUUCCCAGGCUGGCCUCGAACUCCUGACCUCAAGUGAUCCUCCCACCUCAGCCUCCCCGAGUGCUGGGAUUAAAGACGUGAGCCACGGCACCUGGCCUGAAUUUUCCUCAAAUUCAAAAAAUCCUGAUGAAGGUUUGGCUAAAAUCUUUGGUGAGUUACCCCACUCCCUGUGGAACCUCAGGCUGGAUUUGAAGAGUUGCGUGCAUGGUCCUCAUUGUCUCCCAGGUAACCUGUUCCCGCUGCUGUGAAGGGAAGGCAGGUGCUCUUCCUUGAGGCUAGAAUCUGUCUACGUGUCACAGUCUCAGGAAAUUAAGCAAAACAGAUGAUAAACACCUCAAAAGGACCCUACUGAGCAUCAGUGGAGCAGAGCAGGGCCAUGUGGGACUGCGGCGUCAGAUGCCACCUCACACUAGCUGUGACACACCUGCCUCGCCAGUUU